AGUCCUCGUCGGUUCAUUUUAAAAUUGUUUAUUGUGUCUUUAAUAUUGGAUAUUAUCAUCGCCUAUUUUCACAGAACUAAAUGGUGCGGCACUGGUGAUGUUGCCAAAGAUGAUAAUGAUUUAGGAACUAAUGCGGUCACCGAUGCUUGUUGCCGCACACACGAUAAAUGUAAACCUGAUAUUGGAGGGUUUGGAAGCAAGGGGAUCUUCAUAAAUGUUCUACCUUGGACAAGACUGCACUGUGAUUGUGAUAAUGCUUUUCAUAGCUGUUUGAAAAGUGCAAGAAACACUAACGAUGCCGAGAAAAUUGUCGCAGACAUAUCAGGUUUCGCGUAUUUUCACGUUACCAACACUCGAUGCUUCAAAGAACAUUCUUAUAAAAUAUGUACAAGUCUGGGAUGGUUUAAGUGUAAUGGAUAUACAACAUUUAACACCUACAAGUGGCAUAAAAAUAAAUCAUAUUAAAGAGGAGACCCCCCCCCCCCCUACCCAAACAAAAGAAACUAAAUACUGAAAUAGAAAACUCUUUAUUAUAGCCACGUACGACAAGCCAUAUCGUUUACAUAUAUUUCAAUAUUCAAAAAUGUGCAAUGUUUUAAUAUAAAGCCCGUUAAUUUUGUGUAAUUGAGCACACAUGAGUUUAAAGGGAUCGUCAUGAAGGUCAUCCUGUACGA